rnacentral:rRNA from 1 species
GACGAACGCUGGCGGCGUGCUUAACACAUGCAAGUCGAACGGAAAGGCCCUGCUUUUGUGGGGUGCUCGAGUGGCGAACGGGUGAGUAACACGUGAGUAACCUGCCCUUGACUUUGGGAUAACUUUAGGAAACUGGGGCUAAUACCGGAUAGGAUCUCCUGCUGCAUGGUGGGGGUUGGAAAGGUUCGGCGGUUGGGUAUGGACUCGCGGCUUAUCAGCUUGUUGGUGGGGUAGUGGCUUACCAAGGCUUUGACGGGUAGCCGGCCUGAGAGGGUGACCGGCAACAUUGGGACUGAGAUACGGCCCAGACUCCUACGGGAGGCAGCAGUGGGGAAUAUUGCACAAUGGGCGGAAGCCUGAUGCAGCAACGCCGCGUGCGGGAUGACGGCCUUCGGGUUGUAAACCGCUUUCGCCUGUGACGAAGCGUGAGUGACGGUAAUGGGUAAAGAAGCACCGGCUAACUACGUG